rnacentral:rRNA from 1 species
UACGGGGGGAGCAAGCGUUGUUCGGAUUCACUGGGCGUAAAGGGUGCGUAGGCGGUUGGAUAAGUCUGAUGUGAAAUCUUCGAGCUCAACUCGGAAACUGCAUCGGAAACUAUCUAGCUAGAGGAUUGGAGGGGAGACUGGAAUUCUCGGUGUAGCAGUGAAAUGCGUAGAUAUCGAGAGGAACACCAGUGGCGAAGGCGAGUCUCUGGACAAUUCCUGACGCUGAGGCACGAAAGCUAGGGGAGCAAACAGG